UGUUUAGGUGCUUAUACAUAAGUGAAAAGGGAAUAUGGUUAAAUUCCAUAGCAGCCCCCGCUACUGUAAUUGAUGACGAGUCUUAAAAAACCACUUAUUUUGAGAUAAAUAGGGAAGGAUAAGACAAGGAUGACUCAUGAGCCAGGAGACCUGCCUAAAUUA
rnacentral:ncRNA from 1 species